rnacentral:rRNA from 1 species
UACGUAGGGGGCAAGCGUUGUCCGGAUUUAUUGGGCGUAAAGAGCGUGUAGGCGGCCUGGAAGGUCAGCUGUGAAAACUCGAGGCUCAACCUCGAGACGUCGGUUGAAACCACCUGGCUAGAGUCCGGAAGAGGAGAGUGGAAUUCCCGGUGUAGCGGUGAAAUGCGUAGAUAUCUGGAGGAACACCGGUGGCGAAGGCGGCAUCCUGGACCGGCAUUGACGCUGAGGAGCGAAAGCCAGGGGAGCAAGCGGG